ACUAAAUAUGCCUUGUACUGUUAGUCGGUUAUGAGAACGGUAGUGAAAACAGAAGCAGGAUUCAGUGAGCUCCAAAUGAAGAUGUCAGGCAACAAAUGCACCCUUUUCGGUUUAAAAGUUUCCGUCUCUGCUGUUCGUUAAUCCCUGAGGUUGCAUCCACUGCCAGCAUACUACAGUCUGCCUGAUCUAAAGUAGCAAACUUCCGAAUAGUGCCGAAAUGUUUCCGAAAAAAAAAAAAACUGCGGCGCUCGCGUUGAAUCUCUCAGCUACUGACACAAACGAGCGCCGAGUGCGUGUGAAUGAGUUUUUGCUUUGGAUCGAUUGCGCUCUGAGCGGCCUCUGUUGUGCGCUGCUGCUGUGUGUAAUACCGCAACCCCGUCUCCUCUCUUAUCUGACGCAGAGGGCCUCCCCUUUGCGAUAAAACCGGUUCUUAUUUCUAUUUAGAUAAGGAACUGCAGGUAAUGUGCCUUUUCCUCGCCUUGGGACGAGACUGAUUGACAGAGAAGUGCGCCCCUUUUUAAUGGGCUUUCCGGCACCCAUUUAACUUUUGGAUAAGGGUAUCGCCCACAUCACCCCCGUUAACAAAGAAUAGAGGAUCUGACCGACAGAGAGGAGUGUAAACAGUUUACAAGGUAUUCUGGUGGAGGGGUUGUGCCGAGCAGAAACAGGAAAUGGGAAUCGGCUAAAUACUGGGACAGAGAGCCGUCUGCUUGACCAAAUAACAAGAGUAAACAGGAGUGAGUCCGCCGGGAUCCCCGCUGCUGCUGCUUUCAAUGUAAUCCAUUCCAAUGAGCAAGCAUGUCCAUACAGUUACCAGGGAUCUGGGACCAGCACACCUGGAUGCUAUCAAUGUUCAACAGUGCUUUACCCGCUAUGAGAAGUCAAAAGGCUUUUUGGUGGAAUU